rnacentral:rRNA from 1 species
UGGGGAAUAUUGGACAAUGGGCGAAAGCCUGAUCCAGCCAUGCCGCGUGUGUGAAGAAGGUCUUCGGAUUGUAAAGCACUUUAAGUUGGGAGGAAGGGCAUUAACCUAAUACGUUAGUGUUUUGACGUUACCGACAGAAUAAGCACCGGCUAACUCUGUGCCAGCAGCCGCGGUAAUACAGAGGGUGCAAGCGUUAAUCGGAAUUACUGGGCGUAAAGCGCGCGUAGGUGGUUUGUUAAGUUGGAUGUGAAAUCCCCGGGCUCAACCUGGGAACUGCAUUCAAAACUGACUGACUAGAGUAUGGUAGAGGGUGGUGGAAUUUCCUGUGUAGCGGUGAAAUGCGUAGAUAUAGGAAGGAACACCAGUGGCGAAGGCGACCACCUGGACUAAUACUGACACUGAGUUGCGAAAGCGUGGGGAGCAAACA